CUCUGUGAAGGUGCUGCAUGGUUGUCGUCAGCUCGUGCCGUGAGGUGUCGGCUUAAGUGCCAUAACGAGCGCAACCCCUCUCCUUAGUUGCCAUCAGGUCAAGCUGGGCACUCUGGGGACACUGCCACCGUAAGGUGUGAGGAAGGUGGGGAUGACGUCAAAUCAGCACGGCCCUUACGUCCGGGGCUACACACGUGUUACAAUGGCAGGUACAGAGAGACGGUCCCUUGCAAAAUGGAUCAAAUCCUUAAAGCCUGUCUCAGUUCGGACUGGGGUCUGCAACCCGACCCCACGAAGCUGGAUUCGCUAGUAAUCGCGCAUCAGCCAUGGCGCGGUGAAUACGUUCCCGGGCCUUGUACACACCGCCCGUCAAGCCAUGAAAGCCGGGGGCGCCUAAAGUCCGUGACCGUAAGGAGCGGCCUAGGGCGAAACUGGUAAUUGGGGCUAAGUCGUAACAAGGUAGCCGUACCGGAAGGUGCGGCUGGAACACCUCCUUU
rnacentral:rRNA from 1 species